UGUGUAGGCGGCUAUGCAAGUCGGGUGUGAAAUCCCUGGGCUCAACUCAGGAAGUGCACUCGAAACUGCAUGGCUCGAGUACCGGAGAGGUUGGUAGAAUUCUCGGUGUAGAGGUGAAAUUCGUAGAUAUCGAGAGGAAUACCUGUGGCGAAGGCGGCCAACUGGACGAGUACUGACGCUGAGACACGAAAGCGUGGGGAGCAAACAGGAUUAGAUACCCUGGUAGUCCACGCCGUAAACGAUGGGUGCUAGGUGUCGCGGGCUUUGACUCCCGCGGUGCCGUAGCUAACGCAUUAAGCACCCCGCCUGGGAAGUACGGCCGCAAGGCUAAA
rnacentral:rRNA from 1 species